AAACCGUUCGGGGGUAAACGGACAGAGCCCGUGAAUCCGGGCGGCGGAAUUCAGAAUCGACGCCGUUCGCGCGUCGUCGGUUCGAUAUUUCCGUCGCCAAUCUAAUUUUCCGGACGUCGCGACCCGUUCGGUGUCGGUCUGCGGGAGACGUGCAAAAGUUCGUGGGCGUGUGACGGGGUUUCGGCCUUGACGGACGUUUCGCGAGUGCGCGUUUUUUUCUGGCCGACUCGCCGGACGGUAUGCGAAACGGUGAUCGCGGCGGCCUCUCGUCAGCGCCGUCGCGUUACCGGUCUGCGACGAAUCUUCGGGCCUCUUUCCGA
rnacentral:rRNA from 1 species